rnacentral:rRNA from 1 species
CGUAGGUGGCAAGCGAUACUCGGAAUCACUAGGCGUAAAGCGCAGGUAGGCGGUUUGGUAAGUCUUUUGUGAAAGCUCCCGGCUCAACUGGGAGAGGUCAAGGGAAACUACCGGACUAGAGUGUGGUAGGGGAUACUGGAAUUCCUGGUGUAGCGGUGAAAUGCGUAGAUAUCAGGAGGAAUACCUAUGGCGAAAGCAGGUAUCUGGGCCAUCACUGACGCUGAGCUGCGAAAGCUAGGGGAGCAAACAGGAUUAGAUACCCUGGUAGUCCUAGCCCUAAACGAUGCUCAUUAGAUGUGGGAGGUAUCGACCCCUUCCGCGUCGCAGCUAACGCAUUAAAUGAGCCGCCUGGGGAGUACGGCCGCAAGGUUG